rnacentral:rRNA from 1 species
AAGACUUGACAUCCGGCGAAGUUCGGUGAAAACCGAAUGUGCCUAAGGGAAGGCCGUGACAGGUGGUGCAUGGCUGUCGUCAGCUCGUGUCGUGAGAUGUUGGGUUAAGUCCCGCAACGAGCGCAACCCUCGUCCUUAGUUGCCAGCAUUAAGUUGGGGACUCUAGGGAGACUGCCGGUGACAAACCGGAGGAAGGUGGGGAUGACGUCAAGUCAGCAUGCCCCUUACGUUUUGGGCUACACACGUACUACAAUGGUUAGGACAAAGGGCAGCGAACUCGAAAGGGUAAGCGAAUCUCAUCAAACCUAGCCUAAGUUCAGAUUGCAGGCUGCAACUCGCCUGCAUGAAGGAGGAAUCGCUA